GAUGAACGCUGGCGGCGUGCCUAAUACAUGCAAGUCGAGCGAACGGACGAGAAGCUUGCUUCUCUGAUGUUAGCGGCGGACGGGUGAGUAACACGUGGAUAACCUACCUAUAAGACUGGGAUAACUUCGGGAAACCGGAGCUAAUACCGGAUGAUAUUUUGAACCGCAUGGUUCAAUAGUGAAAGACGGUCUUGCUGUCCCUUAUAGAUGGAUCCGCGCUGCAUUAGCUAGUUGGUAAGGUAACGGCUUACCAAGGCAACGAUGCAUAGCCGACCUGAGAGGGUGAUCGGCCACACUGGAACUGAGACACGGUCCAGACUCCUACGGGAGGCAGCAGUAGGGAAUCUUCCGCAAUGGGCGAAAGCCUGACGGAGCAACGCCGCGUGAGUGAUGAAGGUCUUCGGAUCGUAAAACUCUGUUAUUAGGGAAGAACAAAUGUGUAAGUAACUGUGCACAUCUUGACGGUACCUAAUCAGAAAGCCACGGCUAACUACGUG
rnacentral:rRNA from 1 species